AUGGCGACCGGCGCACGGGUGCGCUAACGCGUAUGCAACUUGCCUCACAGAGGGGGAUAACCCGUCGAAAGACGGACUAAUACCGCGUACACUCUAUGUUGGGCAUCCAAUGUAGAGGAAAUGAACUUCGCUGUGAGAUAGGCAUGCGUCCCAUUAGCUAGUUGGUGAGGUAACGGCUCACCAAGGCGACGAUGGGUAGGGGGACUGAGAGGUUGAACCCCCACACUGGUACUGAGACACGGACCAGACUCCUACGGGAGGCAGCAGUGAGGAAUAUUGGUCAAUGGGCGAGAGCCUGAACCAGCCAAGUCGCGUGAAGGAUGACUGUCUUAUGGAUUGUAAACUUCUUUUAUACGGGAAUAACAAGAGUCACGUGUGGCUCCCUGCAUGUACCGUAUGAAUAAGCAUCGGCUAACUCCGUGCCAGCAGCCGCGGUAAUACGGAGGAUGCGAGCGUUAUCCGGAUUUAUUGGGUUUAAAGGGUGCGUAGGCGGCCUGUUAAGUCAGCGGUGAAAUCUAGGAGCUUAACUCCUAAAUUGCCAUUGAUACUGGCGGGCUUGAGUGUAGAUGAGGUAGGCGGAAUGCGUGGUGUANCGGUGGAAUGCAUANAUAUCACGCAGAACUCCGAUUGCGAAGG
rnacentral:rRNA from 1 species